GACGAACGCUGGCGGUGUGCUUAACACAUGCAAGUCGAACGGUAAGGCCCUUUCGGGGGUACACGAGUGGCGAACGGGUGAGUAACACGUGAGUAACCUGCCCUCAUCACUGGGAUAACAGUCGGAAACGGUUGCUAAUACUGGAUAUGAGCUUGCAAGGCAUCUUGUGGGUUGGAAAGAUUUUUUUUGGUUGGGGAUGGACUCGCGGCCUAUCAGCUUGUUGGUGAGGUAGUGGCUCACCAAGGCUUCGACGGGUAGCCGGCCUGAGAGGGCGACCGGCCACAUUGGGACUGAGAUACGGCCCAAACUCCUACGGGAGGCAGCAGUGGGGAAUAUUGCACAAUGGACGGAAGUCUGAUGCAGCAACGCCGCGUGCGGGAUGACGGCCUUCGGGUUGUAAACCGCUUUCAAUUGUGACGAAGCUUUUUUGUGACGGUAGCAGUAGAAGAAGCACCGGCUAACUACGUG
rnacentral:rRNA from 1 species